GUUAUCACAUCCAUCUCCCUCGCUUGCGUGCCUUUCUUCCUCAGCCAACCUGCUCAUCCACCCCAGCGACCGCCAUGUCCCGGCCGUCUCCGCCGCGCGUCUGUCGUACUCGCCCCGAGGAAGCCUGCUCCAGGAAGAUGCUGCCCUCCCGGCCUCGCCGUCUUUUUCGGGCAGACACUGGCGAGGCCCCGUUGAUGGGUGGGGGCCGGCUCCGCGCGGGCUUCUGGGCGCCAUGAAUCGCGACAGCAUCGGCAUGCCCUAUCACUUCAACUGCACGCGCUUUCGAGUUCCAUCUGACCUCGCCGGUCCACGGGUAGGCGGAAGCUUUAUUCGGUCCGUACGGCCACAGUUCGCCGGCCCUAUGCUCGCCGGGGGCGUAUAUCAAGGAGCUUUGCGGGGAGCCAUGGGGGCACCGGGCGCAAGAGUAGUUCAGAUCUGGCGUCCCAUGGAUCGCCCGGACUGAAGCACGGUGAACCGGUCGCGCCUCUUGUUGAGGCUAGCCCUCCUCCACCAAGACUUCCACCGCAACCCCGGGCAAAGUUUGUUCAUCUCGCCGCCCCCACCGUCCCGCCACCCAUCUCACCGGUUUCGUCGGCCUCGUCCUUACUGUCCACCAGCUCCGACGAAUCCCCAUCGCCGACUCCGCCCGUACCUUCACCUCCGCGUGAUUUGAAGGAAGGUGCUGGAUCGACCGACUCCCUCAAGUCCGACCACCGCUGCCACGAGCCUGUCGAAGACGUAGAGCUAGCCGCGGACAUCUUGUGUGCAGUUCGUGAUUUCGUGAAGACCCUGACCGCACUGCCUCCGCGUGGCCGUCACGAGAAGUUCAACUAUGUACACCCCUCCCUACGCACUACAGUUGAACGUGUGUUCGGAAUAAAGAAAAAUUCUGCGGGGUAUGCAGUAUUUUCCAGAGCCUCACACCCAGACGCAGAUCAUCCAGGCAGCAUGUGCUCUGUAUAUAUAAUUUCGUUACGCAGCAUCUUUUGUAUAAUGGAUUUCCCAUCCAGGGCACGUGAUUGGUACAAUGCUCCAAACAGUGAGGAGGAAAUGUCUGAGACAAUUGCGACCGCUGUUGUUUCUGCUUGUUAUGGCAGGAAAAAAACAUUUAGCAUGUAUUUAGUUGUACUCGUAUUAUUAGUUAUCAUCUGCCCAGCCAGGGCUCAUGUAUGUCGUAC
rnacentral:lncRNA from 1 species